UUACUGGGCGUAAAGACGCAUGCAGGUGGUUUGUUAAGUCAGAUGUGAAAGCCCGGGGCUCAACCUCGGAAUUGCAUUUGAAACUGGCAAACUAGAGUACUGUAGAGGGGGUAGAAUUUCAGGUGUAGCGGUGAAAUGCGUAGAGAUCUGAAGGAAUACCGGUGGCGAAGGCGGCCCCCUGGACAGAUACUGACACUCAGAUGCGAAAGCGUGGGGAGCAAACAGGAUUAGAUACCCUCGGUAG
rnacentral:rRNA from 1 species